CACGUAGGGCGCAAGCGUUGUCCGGAAUUAUUGGGCGUAAAGAGCUCGUAGGCGGACUGCCACGUCUGCUGUGAAAAGCUGGGGCUUAACCCUGGCCUUGCAGUGGAUACGGGCAGACUAGAGGUAGGUAGGGGAGAAUGGAAUUCCCGGUGUAGCGGUGAAAUGCGCAGAUAUCGGGAGGAACACCGGUGGCGAAGGCGGUUCUCUGGGCCUUACCUGACGCUGAGGAGCGAAAGCGUGGGGAGCGAACAGG
rnacentral:rRNA from 1 species